rfam:Nematostella vectensis strain CH2 x CH6 NEMVEscaffold_452_Cont27648, whole genome shotgun sequence.
GUUGCGGUGGCCGAGUGGUUAAGGCGUUGGACUAGAAAUCCAAUGGGAUCUUCCCGCGCAAGCCCGAAUCCUGCCCGCAAUG